CGGCCGCGGUACCCUAACCGCGCGAAGGUAGCGUAAUCACUUGUCUUCUAAAUAAAGACUGGUAUGAAAGGCACCACGAGAAUUUAACUGUCUCCCUCUUCCAAUCAGUGAACCUAAUCUCCCCGUGAAAAAGCGGGGAUUCACUAAUAAGACGAGAAGACCCUAUGAAGCUUUAAACACCAGCCAACUACCCACACAACAACGCUCCGGCGCGUUAGCUAACCCACUAUGGUCACGUGUUUUAGGUUGGGGUGACCGCGGGAAAUAACCCAACCCCCGCAAUGAAACCUUCAAACUGCAAGACACAACUUUAAGUAUCAAUAAAUUGACAUCCAUUGACCCAAUAUGUUGAUUAAUGAACCAAGUUACUCUAGGGAUAACAGCGCAAUCCACUUCAAGAGCCCCUAUCGACAAGUGGGCUUACGACCUCGAUGUUGGAUUAGGGUACCCUGGUGGUGCAGCAACUACUAAUGGUUCGUUUGUUCAACGAUUAAAA
rnacentral:rRNA from 1 species